CGGACUCGACUAUUUAAUACCUAUAAUUAGCAUAAACAUCAUUUAAUUCUCCAAAUAAAUGCAAAGAAUAUGGUGGCGUCCUUUUGGGUUUCAAGGAAACUCUGUGGACUUUGGACAAGGCUAUCUUAAAGAGUCAUUAUGUGGACAAUAUAACUGACUCGGCUAGGUUUGACCAUGAUGCAUGCACGGUUAAACAGAGUAAGGUUUCUAUGGGGUAUUAGACCGGUACCCUUGAGCGGACAACUCAACAGGGAAAGAAACGGAACCAUCGAUUGCACCGUUG
rnacentral:lncRNA from 1 species